GGGUGAAAGGCCAAUCAAACCGGGAGAUAGCUGGUUCUCCCCGAAAGCUAUUUAGGUAGCGCCUCGUGAAUUCAUCUCCGGGGGUAGAGCACUGUUUCGGCAAGGGGGUCAUCCCGACUUACCAACCCGAUGCAAACUGCGAAUACCGGAGAAUGUUAUCACGGGAGACACACGGCGGGUGCUAACGUCCGUCGUGAAGAGGGAAACAACCCAGACCGCCAGCUAAGGUCCCAAAGUCAUGGUUAAGUGGGAAACGAUGUGGGAAGGCCCAGACAGCCAGGAUGUUGGCUUAGAAGCAGCCAUCAUUUAAAGAAAGCGUAAUAGCUCACUGGUCGAGUCGGCCUGCGCGGAAGAUGUAACGGGGCUAAACCAUGCACCGAAGCUGCGGCAGCGACGCUUAUGCGUUGUUGGGUAGGGGAGCGUUCUGUAAGCCUGUGAAGGUGUGCUGUGAGGCAUGCUGGAGGUAUCAGAAGUGCGAAUGCUGACAUAAGUAACGAUAAAGCGGGUGAAAAGCCCGCUCGCCGGAAGACCAAGGGUUCCUGUCCAACGUUAAUCGGGGCAGGGUGAGUCGACCCCUAAGGCGAGGCCGAAAGGCGUAGUCGAUGGGAAACAGGUUAAUAUUCCUGUACUUGGUGUUACUGCGAAGGGGGGACGGAGAAGGCUAUGUUGGCCGGGCGACGGUUGUCCCGGUUUAAGCGUGUAGGCUGGUUUUCCAGGCAAAUCCGGAAAAUCAAGGCUGAGGCGUGAUGACGAGGCACUACGGUGCUGAAGCAACAAAUGCCCUGCUUCCAGGAAAAGCCUCUAAGCAUCAGGUAACAUCAAAUCGUACCCCAAACCGACACAGGUGGUCAGGUAGAGAAUACCAAGGCGCUUGAGAGAACUCGGGUGAAGGAACUAGGCAAAAUGGUGCCGUAACUUCGGGAGAAGGCACGCUGAUAUGUAGGUGAAGUCCCUCGCGGAUGGAGCUGAAAUCAGUCGAAGAUACCAGCUGGCUGCAACUGUUUAUUAAAAACACAGCACUGUGCAAACACGAAAGUGGACGUAUACGGUGUGACGCCUGCCCGGUGCCGGAAGGUUAAUUGAUGGGGUCAGCGCAAGCGAAGCUCUUGAUCGAAGCCCCGGUAAACGGCGGCCGUAACUAUAACGGUCCUAAGGUAGCGAAAUUCCUUGUCGGGUAAGUUCCGACCUGCACGAAUGGCGUAAUGAUGGCCAGGCUGUCUCCACCCGAGACUCAGUGAAAUUGAACUCGCUGUGAAGAUGCAGUGUACCCGCGGCAAGACGGAAAGACCCCGUGAACCUUUACUAUAGCUUGACACUGAACAUUGAGCCUUGAUGUGUAGGAUAGGUGGGAGGCUUAGAAGUGUGGACGCCAGUCUGCAUGGAGCCGACCUUGAAAUACCACCCUUUAAUGUUUGAUGUUCUAACGUUGACCCGUAAUCCGGGUUGCGGACAGUGUCUGGUGGGUAGUUUGACUGGGGCGGUCUCCUCCUAAAGAGUAACGGAGGAGCACGAAGGUUGGCUAAUCCUGGUCGGACAUCAGGAGGUUAGUGCAAUGGCAUAAGCCAGCUUGACUGCGAGCGUGACGGCGCGAGCAGGUGCGAAAGCAGGUCAUAGUGAUCCGGUGGUUCUGAAUGGAAGGGCCAUCGCUCAACGGAUAAAAGGUACUCCGGGGAUAACAGGCUGAUACCGCCCAAGAGUUCAUAUCGACGGCGGUGUUUGGCACCUCGAUGUCGGCUCAUCACAUCCUGGGGCUGAAGUAGGUCCCAAGGGUAUGGCUGUUCGCCAUUUAAAGUGGUACGCGAGCUGGGUUUAGAACGUCGUGAGACAGUUCGGUCCCUAUCUGCCGUGGGCGCUGGAGAACUGAGGGGGGCUGCUCCUAGUACGAGAGGACCGGAGUGGACGCAUCACUGGUGUUCGGGUUGUCAUGCCAAUGGCACUGCCCGGUAGCUAAAUGCGGAAGAGAUAAGUGCUGAAAGCAUCUAAGCACGAAACUUGCC
rnacentral:rRNA from 1 species